rnacentral:lncRNA from 1 species
UGUUUUGGCCAAGGUGAACUCAGGACCAUUUGGAGACUCUGGGAAAAUGUGAUUCCGGCUCAGGGCCAAAACAUCACGGGGACUAAACUGUAGAGCCGGAGUCCAGGCUCGUCUCGUGCCCGAGACCACGUCGUUUGAUUUUCACUUGGAUCAGUCAGAGGUGGGUGGGUAAGGGGUGGAUGGAGGUGGAGGAUCAGCCCCCACACAAGUGUGACUUCAAAGCUGGUCAGGUAACGUCACCUGGGGGUCGUGAGCUGGGGCACCGUAGGGAGUGGUGGAGACUGUAGCGAACCGGAGAACUGUUUAAAUGCAGUGGUUGGUCCCAGCUCCAACCGACUGCUGUUCUCCAGGAGUGUGGGCCGGGUGCGCCAGGCAGUCUGACGUACCGUUUGCCCCUCUGGGCUGGAGAUGUUAAAUUUGGGGAGGGUACACAAAAUCUGCCAGUUCGAAUAGUCUGGCAACUGGUUUGAGUUUUUUAGUCCCGGCUGGGCAAUCCCAAGUCAGUUCUGCACCAUUGUCACCAAAAGACUCAAUAAGAACAAAUUAGAGGAGGAAAAGUCUGUUUGGGCUCAUGGUUUCCGAGGUUCGGUCACGGUCAGGGACUCUAUGGCUAGGGGCCUGAGGUGAAGGGGACAUCAUGGCGGAAGGGAAUGGCAGAAGAAAGACACUCAGUGCAUGACAGCCAGGAAGCAGACAGCUGUACUCACCAGGGACAAAUAUAAACCCCAAAGACAUGUCUCCAGUGACCUAAUUCCUCCAGCCACACCCUACCUGCCUACAGUUACCCCACUCAACCCCUUCAAGUGGGUUAAUCCACUGAUGAGGGUACAGCUCUCAUAAUCCAAUCAUUCCACUCUGAACACUCUUGCGUUGUCUCACGUGUGAGCUUUUGAGGGACACAUUAUCCAUACCAUGACACUAAGGGUGGAUUAAAUUUGCCCUUGGGGUUCUCAGUUUGUGAUCUUUGGAGAUUUUUAAGGGUCCUUCCUAUCCUGGCAGACCCUCCCUAAUAUGCCCUGACCUUAAAGACUCC